GACAGAGGGUGCAAACGUUGUUCGGAAUUACUGGGCGUAAAGCGUGUGUAGGCGGCUACAUAAGUCGGAUGUGAAAGCCCCGGGCUCAACCCGGGAAGUGCACUCGAUACUGCGUAGCUUGAGUCUCGGAGAGGUUGGUGGAAUUCUCGGUGUAGAGGUGAAAUUCGUAGAUAUUCGCAAGAACACCAGUGGCGAAGGCGGCUCACUGGCCCGAUACUGACGCUGAGGCACGAAAGCGUGGGGAGCAAACAGG
rnacentral:rRNA from 1 species